rnacentral:lncRNA from 1 species
GCUCCUCCUCUGUUUUGACAUAAAGUCUUAGUACAUGACCAUGAUUGGCCUCGAGAGCAUGGCAGUCCUCCUGCAUCAGCCUCUGAAUGCUGGGAUGAUAGACGCGCUCUACUGCAUCCAGGAGCUGUUCCUUGUUAUUUUGCAAGAUGUGUAUAGAGGGUAUGGACCUACUCUACUCAUAUAUACACAUGCACACACACACAUAUAAACAUAUACAUAUAUACACAUACAUACACAUGUGUGUCACCAAUCUUCUUGAGAGUUACUUUUCAAUUUAAGAUGCAAUUAAUAUAUGUUAGGGAUAGGUUUGAAUAUGGUUUAUUUCCUCUCAAGAGAAAUGUGAAAUUCAGUCCCUCCCUCUCCCGUGAGCUAUUCAGAGGUAAAGUCACUUAAGAGGUGAUAAAAAGCAAAGCACCCAGGUAGUAUCAAUCCUCUUCCUCUUUUCUGCCUUCUCCUACGUUUCUUGUCCAGCUAUGAAACUCAUAUGCUUCAUGUAAGCUGGAGAGGUGGCUGUUGGUAUUGAAAUUUGAACACAAACCCUUCUGAAUCCAAAUGCUUUCUUCUAAUGAAUCUCAAAGAUUCGUCUCCCUAUUUACACACCACCAGAUUCCAUGAAGCAGAACGUGAACACAUUGGCCAUCCGUGCCGUCAUGAGUGGUGUGUGGGUGGGUGAUCCUGAGGGAUUUGCUAGCUG